rnacentral:rRNA from 1 species
GACGAACGCUGGCGGCGUGCUUAAUACAUGCAAGUCGAACGCAGUGGGGACGGGUGAGUAACACGUGGGUAACCUCCCAUCAGAGGGGAUAACACUUGGAAACAGGUGCUAAACCGAUACUGAUGGAUGAACCCGCGGUGCAUUAGCUAGUUGGUGAGGUAACGGCUCACCAAGGCCACGAUGCAUAGCCGACCUGUGAGGGUGGUCGGCCACACUGAGACUGAGACACGGCCCAGACGCCGACGGGGUGCCGCAGUAGGGAAGCGUAGGCAAUGGACUAAAGUUUGACCGAGCAACGCCGAAUGAGUGGAGAAGGUUUUCGGAUCGUAAAACUCUGUUGUUAGAUAAGCGGUAUCUAACCAGAAAGCCACGGCUAACUCCGGGCCAGCAGCCGCGAUAAUGC